CCUACGGGCGGCAGCAGUGGGGAAUAUUGGACAAUGGGCGAAAGCCUGAUCCAGCCAUGCCGCGUGUGUGAAGAAGGCCUUCGGGUUGUAAAGCACUUUCAGUGGGGAAGAAAGCCUUGGGGCUAAUACCCUCGAGGAAGGACAUCACCCACAGAAGAAGCACCGGCUAACUCCGUGCCAGCAGCCGCGGUAAUACGGAGGGUGCGAGCGUUAAUCGGAAUUACUGGGCGUAAAGCGCGCGUAGGCGGUCUGAUAAGCCGGUUGUGAAAGCCCCGGGCUCAACCUGGGAACGGCAUCCGGAACUGUCAGGCUAGAGUGCAGGAGAGGAAGGUAGAAUUCCCGGUGUAGCGGUGAAAUGCGUAGAGAUCGGGAGGAAUACCAGUGGCGAAGGCGGCCUUCUGGACUGACACUGACGCUGAGGUGCGAAAGCGUGGGUAGCAAACAGGAUUAGAUACCCCAUCGUC
rnacentral:rRNA from 1 species